rnacentral:rRNA from 1 species
AUGAACGCUGGCGGCGUGCCUAAUCCAUGCAAGUCGAGCGAACAGAUAAGGAGCUUGCUCCUUUGACGUUAGCGGCGGACGGGUGAGUAACACGUGGGUAACCUACCUAUAAGACUGGGAUAACUUCGGGAAACCGGAGCUAAUACCGGAUAACAUUUGGAACCGCAUGGUUCUAAAGUGAAAGAUGGUUUUGCUAUCACUUAUAGAUGGACCCGCGCCGUAUUAGCUAGUUGGUAAGGUAACGGCUUACCAAGGCAACGAUACGUAGCCGACCUGAGGGGGUGAUCGGCCAGGUGGGAGCUGCGACCCGGCCCAGACUCCGAGGGGAGGCACCAGGGGGAAAUCUUCCGAAAUGGGGAAAGGCUUGAGGGAGCAGCGCCGCGGGGGUAAAGAAGGUGUUGGGCUCGUAAACCUUUUUUAUUAGGGAAAAAAAAAUGUAUAAGUAACUGUGCACGUCUAGACGGUACCUAACAAGAAAGCCACGCCUAACUACGUG